rnacentral:misc_RNA from 1 species
AACUGAUACUACCUGCGGGAACCUGCGGAAGGAUCAUUAUUGAAUUAUGUUUCUAAAUGGGUUGUAGCUGGCUCGUCAGAGCAUGUGCGCGCCUGUUUGGACUUCAUUUUCAUCCACCUGUGCACCUAUUGUAGUCUUUGGUUGGGUAUCGAGGAAGUGGUCAGCCUAUCAGCACUUGCUGGAUGUGAGGACUUGCAGUGUGAAAGCUUUGCUGUCCUUUACUUGAUCAUGGAGCUGUUU